rnacentral:rRNA from 1 species
UACGUAGGGGGCUAGCGUUGUCCGGAAUCAUUGGGCGUAAAGAGCGUGUAGGCGGCCCGGUAAGUCCGCUGUGAAAGUCGGGGGCUCAACCCUCGAAUGCCGGUGGAUACUGUCGGGCUAGAGUGCGGAAGAGGCGAGUGGAAUUCCUGGUGUAGCGGUGAAAUGCGUAGAGAUCGGGAAGAACAUCAGUGGCGAAGGCGACCGACUGGGCUGCACCUGACGCUGAAAUGCGAAAGUGUGGGGAGCAAACGGG